rnacentral:lncRNA from 1 species
UAGAGAUCCUGUCAUAGGUUAAGGAUUGGAGAGAAUUAAAGAACCCUAGGUCUAGUACAUUCAAAUCUGGGGAAUUGGUAGCUUGGUUGAUGAGUCGUAUGUCUAGCCUUGUCUGUGCAAGAGCAGCAGCAAAUUCUUCAUCAUUUACUGGCACAUGUGAAGGGGCAUUAUCUUGCUGAAUCCAAAUGGUUUUUCAUGCAUGUUCCCAUGGCCACCGUCGAACAAUAGCAUGCAAAACUUUAC